UACAGAGGGGGCAAGCGUUGUUCGGAAUUACUGGGCGUAAAGGGCGCGUAGGCGGCCUGCUAAGUCGAACGUGAAAUCCCUGGGCUCAACCCAGGAACUGCGUCCGAUACUGGUUGGCUUGAAUCCGGGAGAGGGAUGUGGAAUUCCAGGUGUAGCGGCGAAAUGCGUAGAUAUCUGGAGGAACACCAGUGGCGAAGGCGAGUCCCUGGGCGAUACCUGACACUGAGGCACGAAAGCCAAGGGAGCAAACAGG
rnacentral:rRNA from 1 species